GAUGAACGCUGGCGGCGUGCCUAAUACAUGCAAGUCGAGCGAACGGACGAGAAGCUUGCUUUUCUGAUGUUAGCGGCGGACGGGUGAGUAACACGUGGAUAACCUACCUAUAAGACUGGGAUAACUUCGGGAAACCGGAGCUAAUACCGGAUAAUAUUUUGAACCGCAUGGUUCAAAAGUGAAAGACGGUCUUGCUGUCACUUAUAGAUGGAUCCGCGCUGCAUUAGCUAGUUGGUAAGGUAACGGCUUACCAAGGCAACGAUGCAUAGCCGACCUGAGAGGGUGAUCGGCCACACUGGAACUGAGACACGGUCCAGACUCCUACGGGAGGCAGCAGUAGGGAAUCUUCCGCAAUGGGCGAAAGCCUGACGGAGCAACGCCGCGUGAGUGAUGAAGGUCUUCGGAUCGUAAAACUCUGUUAUUAGGGAAGAACAUAUGUGUAAGUAACUGUGCAUAUCUUGACGGUACCUAAUCAGAAAGCCACGGCUAACUACGUG
rnacentral:rRNA from 1 species